UGGAGCACCUGGCAGAGGAGACACCAUGAUCAGAUCAGGAAGAUGAUUUUCUCAGGAUGAGGUUCAUCCAUUGCUUUCCAGGCUUGCUAACCCUUGCGAUGUUCCCAAAUGAAGGAAACUCAACUACAUAAUUUGUUGUAGUAGAUGACUGGGUUCAUGCUUUCCCCUG
rnacentral:snRNA from 1 species